AAGUCGUAACAAGGUUUCCGUAGGUGAACCUGCGGAAGGAUCAUUACCAACAUUGAUAAACAGAGAUAAAGCCUUCACUCUUGCGGGUCUCAGGUGGAAAAACAUGGGGAGGUGCAUUACGACGGUCGCUGUCAGGUGCAUCUCUUCCCACCCUUUCGAGAAAGCAUGGUUUCACUCUUAUUAUUAUCUCCAAACACUUGUAUACCUAUCCCACUUCUUCCGUGAACUUUCAAGUUCACGGACAUACACAUAACAUUCUGUUUUUAUAUUCAUGUCUGAUAAAACUAUAAUAAAGUUAAAACUUUCAACAACGGAUCUCUUGGUUCUC
rnacentral:misc_RNA from 1 species